UACAGAGGGUGCGAGCGUUAAUCGGAAUUACUGGGCGUAAAGCGCACGUAGGUGGCGACGUAAGUCGGGUGUGAAAGCCCCGGGCUCAACCUGGGAAUUGCAUUCGAGACUGCAUUGCUGGAGUACGGAAGAGGAAGGCGGAAUUCCCGGUGUAGCGGUGAAAUGCGCAGAUAUCGGGAGGAACACCGGUGGCGAAGGCGGUUCUCUGGGCCUUACCUGACGCUGAGGAGCGAAAGCGUGGGGAGCGAACAGG
rnacentral:rRNA from 1 species